AUUGAACGCUGGCGGCAUGCCUUACACAUGCAAGUCGAACGGCAGCACGGGAGCAAUCCUGGUGGCGAGUGGCGAACGGGUGAGUAAUAUAUCGGAACGUGCCCAGUCGUGGGGGAUAACGUAGCGAAAGCUACGCUAAUACCGCAUACGAUCUAUGGAUGAAAGCGGGGGAUCGCAAGACCUCGCGCGAUUGGAGCGGCCGAUAUCAGAUUAGGUAGUUGGUGGGGUAAAAGCCCACCAAGCCGACGAUCUGUAGCUGGUCUGAGAGGACGACCAGCCACACUGGGACUGAGACACGGCCCAGACUCCUACGGGAGGCAGCAGUGGGGAAUUUUGGACAAUGGGCGCAAGCCUGAUCCAGCAAUGCCGCGUGCAGGAUGAAGGCCUUCGGGUUGUAAACUGCUUUUGUACGGAACGAAACGGCGAGCUCUAAUACAGUUUGCUAAUGACGGUACCGUAAGAAUAAGCACCGGCUAACUACGUGCCAGCCGCCGCAGUAAAAC
rnacentral:rRNA from 1 species